rnacentral:lncRNA from 1 species
ACUCUAAAGCAGCAUAUGAUCGCCCCCGCUACGAUGCCACACCUAAUUUUCCUAUCUGCUGAGUGUCGGAUAUAAAUGUUGUCUCUGAGAAACAUGAACAACAUAUAUGACACUAUAAAGCUGUAACUUGUAAGCGUGAGAAAUGGAAUGGUUAUAUAGUUACUAAAGUAAGGUAAGAUUUUUAUUUAAUAUAGUAGACGUCAAUACAGUAAAGUCAUUUGCUUAACACAACUAAAAAUUUUAGCAAGAAAAUACAAAUUAGCUUAAAACAAACCAUACAAACUCAAUUCAACUAUUACCAAUACACAAAUAAAAUGCACAAAAGAAAAUAUAACAAAGUAAUUGAUAUUCAUUUGUCUUGUUACAUUUCUUGCCCUAUUAACUUUCUCAAACAUAUGACAUAUGUUUCCAAGGUUUUUGAUUAUAAUAACAUUGUUGCGUGCAAGGUAAUAUAGGACUAUAGAAGAAAGUUUAGUACAGAUAAGAAUUUAUUAUAUAAUAUAUUAUAAGAGAGAAAAACUUAUUAAAGAGAUCUUAAUUAUUUGAAUUAUCAAUGAUCCUCUCUUCUUCUAAGACUUGGAUUGAAAAAUUCAGUUUGAGAAUAGAAACAUUUUUUCAACAGUUAUUUUACCGAAUUUCAGGUUUUAGUUCUUAUAUCCAAACGGACAUUGAAAUUCACACAACAAAAGAAAAAAUCUCAUAGAAACAAAACAACACUAUCUUAUCAAUCAUAACAACACUAUAUAGAGUAGGGGUGUACAAGUCAAACUGUAAAGUCAAAUCGAACCGACAAACCAAAUCAAACCGGAAAAAAAAAUUGACUUGUGGUUUGGUUUGAUUGGUUUGGCGGUUGAAAAAACAUCGACCACUCUUGGUUUGGUUUGGUAUUAAAAGAAAAAAAGUCAAACCGAACCCAAACCAAAACGCCAAAAUAUAUAUAUAUAUAUAUAUAUAUAUAAUUUUAUUUUUUUUAUAGAUAAAAAAUAUUAUUUAUAAUCUACUUUGUUGAUAUAUUUUUAGUUAGUUUAUAAUUUUCAAUGUUUAUAUUUUUUAUUUUAAAUUUGGGCUUGUACAAUUUUGUAAUAUAUAUAUAUAUAUAUAAUUUUAUUUUAUUUAUAGAUAAAAAAUAUUAUUUUUAAUUUACUUUGUUAAUAUAUUUUUAAUUAGUUUAUAGUUUUCAAUGUUUAUAUAUUUUAUUUCAAAUUUGGGCUUGUAAAAUUUGUAAAUAUUUUGUUUUGUAUUAAGAUCCAAAGUUACAAUUAUAUUGUUAUAGUUUUUCAUAUUCGAAGUUAACAAUUUACUUUGUAAAUAUUUUGUUUUGUAUUCAGUUUGCCUCUAGCCUUCAAUAUUAUUAAUUUAACAUAAUGAACGUUGAUAUUUCAAAAAAAAUAUUUUGUACUCAUGUGAAUUUUACCGUCUUUUUGAAAAUUUCUAUUCAUUUAACAUUUUUUAAGUUUAGCUUAUCACACAGGUAAGUGAAAAUAUAUUUAAUCUCUUUUCCAAAUACCGUAUAGUUGUAAAAAAUCGAAAAACCGAAAAAAACCGACUAAAACCGAAACCGAAAAAAUUGACUUUAUGUGGUUUGAUUUGGUUUUUAGAUUUAGUAAACCGACAUAAUUGAUUUAGGUUUUUUUUAAUGAAAAAACAAACCAAACCAACCUAUGUACACCCCUAAUAUAGAGUAUUUGAAAUAGUAGUCUUUCAUCAAUUCUUAACUAUCAUAAUAAACUGAGACAUCAAAUCUAAAUAGAUGCAAAUAUCUACUAAAAUCAGAAUUUCAGGUAAUCUAACAGAAAGUGGCAUAUUGACUUACCAACACAAUUAUUAAAACGGAUCAACAGAUCUCUCUUGUAGUCUUAUUUCACUUAUAUGUUGUUACUCUCUUGGAUACCAUUAUGACAUCCUAUUCAUAAUUUUGAAACAAUAAUUUCUAAUUUUUCAGCUCUCAUGUCACAUGUGGUCAUUCAACUCAUAAGGUGAUAGCGAAGAAGAAUCAUGACUUGGCAGUUGAAUUAGCAGCAUGUUUUCAGAUGUAGUUGGAAUCUCAACUUAGUGUUGUCUCUGACUUAGAUUAGCUUUGAUACCUUUGGAUCACAAUAAUAUUGUGUCUAGAUGAUAGUGUCUAUUGAUUUAUUAUUAGUUCUUUUGAAAAAAAAAAAAAAAAAGAGCCAAAUACAGAAAGGGAGUGAGUUCAUCUACUGUAACACUUGAUCUUUAUUAAAAUUGAUACAUAGUCAUAACUAUAAGACACAUCUAUAUAUUACAAGCACAAAAAUUGGAGAAAACUACCUUGGUUCUUUAGUGGUAUGAGUGCAAGAUAGAUCAAAGUGCCAAAGGAGGAGGGUAUUUUACAGUUAAGACCCAAAACAUGUACAUCUCCAUAAAAGUCACCUCCACAUUGCCUACGGUGUAGUGAACAAUAAUUUCAGCAGAAGUCGCAUGUCCUCGCCGGUACAAGCAGAACAUAGUGCUUCACCUAAAAGUUUUUAGGAUAUCUUGAUCACUCUUAAGCUGCAAAGGCAAAAGAAAUAUUAUACGUUAAUUUCUUCACUCAUGUCUAGAUCGCUGGAUCAAUUUUCACUGAACAUAUCAAAGAUACAGUAAAAAAACUACUCAAAAACAGGCAAUUGAUUAAUCAAGUAGUCUAUUAGAUUG